GCAUCUACUCCCAGGGAUUCCAAAGAAAAAGGAUUGAAUGUGGAAAGGAGAAGGCAAAUUAAAUGCUCCAGGUUCCUUACAGUGUUUCCAGACACAGCUGGCAGAGAUGUAUUGACUUCAACUUGUUUUGAUUCAACAAAAAAAGGCAAACUCUUCCCAAGAUUGUACCUCUGCAUCAGAGCUACUGCUGGAGCACUUGGAGGCUACUGGCACACAUCCCAUGCCUGAGGCUAUCCAGGAGGACCCAGACAAGCAUGCACUUUCCUCUCAGAAUUUGCAAAUGAGCUGCACAUGGUUUGAAACCUGGGAACAUGCUGACUGUUGAGGAGGAAUCUGCGCCCUUGCGUCAUG